CACUGUGACCAAAUCGCCCUGAAUUUGCCCUCGAUCUCAUCGGAUCUCGGAAGAUAAUGAGGAUUGGAGCCUGGUUUUUAGUACUUGGAUGGGAGACUGCUUGGGAAUAAGCAGGUGUUGGAGUCU
rnacentral:rRNA from 1 species